GUGCGUGCGUGCGUGCGUGCGUGCGUGCGUGCGUGCGUGCGUGCGUGUGUGUGUGUCAUAUGCCCACAUGAAGAAACAAGAGGGGGGAACCUCAAGUGUCUACCUCCAUUCCUCUCUGCCAUUUUGCCUUGAGACAAGGUCUCUAACUGAACUGGAGGCUCACCAUUUUGGCUAGGCUGACUAGCCAGCGAGAUACUGGGGUCUGCCCAUCUCCAUCACAGAGUAUUGGGGUCACAGGCAAGAGAUGAUUAGGGCUAAUGGUCAGCUUGGCAAAUUCCAGAAUGACCCAGGAUAUGGGCCUCUGAGCAUGCCUGGGAGAGACUAUCUUGAUUCUGUUGACGUGGGAAGGCCUGUCAACUGUGAAGAGCACCAUUCCCUGACUAGGGUCCUAGGUUGUCUGGAUGGAAAAGGAAAUUGAGGAAAGACCUUUUUUUAUUCUUCUUUUGAGUGUACACACAAUGUUACCAGCCGCUUCGAGCUCCCGGUGGCUUGAUUUCCCCGUCAAGAUUGAUCAGAGACUAAAAUAAACCUUUCCCCCUCAAGCUUCUUUUGUUUGAGUAUUUCAUCACAACAAAGGUUUAAAAAAAAAAAAUCUUGUACAGAGUGCAAGUAGCUAUGUCUGAACUUUUUAAUGUGGUUCCUGGGGAUUCAAACUGAUGUCCUCAUGCUUGAUACACAAGUACUCUUACCCACUGAGCCACCUACCCAACUCCCUCCACGCUGCUGUCUUUAUGGUGGGUGCAUGCUGAAAACUAUAAAGUCCUUGUGACAGAAUGAAUAAAACAACCCUGCCCCAGAAGUUCCCACGUCCUGAUUUCUGGGACCUGCAAAUGGUGGCUCAAACACGGGCUACCUGAGCUCGGGAAGAUUUACAGGACACAAGGUUACUUUGGUUCCAGGGUCUGGAAGUUGAAGAAGAUGGUCCAGGACACAAUGGAAGAUAGAAGGGCAGUAGACUCGUGCAGCCAGCAUGCUCAGAAGCGGCAAAGCAGGAGGGGCAACCUUGCGUUACAAUAACUUGAUCUCAACAUGGGAGCACUUAGAAGGUGUCCCAUGACCUAAUCACCACUCCCCAAGGUUCUGGCUUCUCAACGAUACCACACAGGAAUCAAACUUCAACAUGAGUCAAGGAAGACAAAGAUUGCAGUGACAGGGCUUUCACUGUAAGUCUGGCUGUCUUAGAGCUCACUCUGGAGACCAAGCUGGCUUCAAACUUACAGAGAUCUACCUGUCUCUGCCUCCAGUGCUGGAAUUAAAGGUGUGCAUCACCAUUGCUUGAUGGAAUCUACUUAUAUUAUCCCAAUGUUUGGGUUGAGAAAACUGAAACCACCAAAGAAUGGUCACUCAUCACAGCCUCGGCAGAUCCAGACAAUUCAGGAGGAGUUCAUGGGAUCCCGGCCUCCAUAAUGAGAACAAACACAGACAGAACAGCAUGUCACACAAGGGGAAACAGGCCUCAAGAAAGAGAGAUCCAAGUCAAUCAACGCUGGCCUGGGCCUAAAGCUUGUGCUCUUGGCUUUGAGAGAAAGAAGAAAAGCAAGAUGCAGGAAAGAUCCCCAAGCAACCAUCUCUGGUGGGCCGAGGAUGGUCCUCCAGAGAGCUAUGCACAGGCUCUGGGUUUCUCUCCUGUCCAGUCAAGGACACUGCUUGAAAUUUAAGGAAGGGGAAGAGAAGUUUCUUCUUAAACGCUAGAAAUAAAUGCCAGUAGACAUAAUGA